AUUGAACGCUAGCGGCAUGCUUAACACAUGCAAGUCGAACGGCAGCACGAGGAGCUUGCUCCUUGGUGGCGAGUGGCGGACGGGUGAGUAACGCGUAGGAAUCUGCCUUAUAGAGGGGGAUAACCCGGGGAAACUCGGGCUAAUACCGCAUAAUCUCUACGGAGCAAAGUGGGGGAUCUUUGGACCUCACGCUAUUAGAUGAGCCUGCGUCGGAUUAGUUUGUUGGUGGGGAAUGGCCUACCAAGACUACGAUCCGUAGCUGGUCUGAGAGGACGACCAGCCACACUA
rnacentral:rRNA from 1 species